rnacentral:rRNA from 1 species
GAUGAACGCUGACAGAAUGCUUAACACAUGCAAGUCUUUGGCGAAUCUGUGCUUGCACAGGCUAGCCAAGGCGGACGGGUGAGUAACGCGUAAAGAACUUGCCCUGCAGACAGGGAUAACAGACGGAAACGACUGAUAACACCUGGUACAGUUGCCGGCACGCAUGUGCCUGGCAAUGAAAAGAGAUGCUGCAGGAGAGCUUUGCGUCCUAUUAGCUUGUUGGUGAGGUGACGGCUCACCAAGGCGAUGAUAGGUAGCCGGCCUGAGAGGGUGAACGGCCACAAGGGGACUGAGAUACGGCCCUUACUCCUACUGGAGGCAGCAGUGGGGAAUAUUGGACAAUGGGGGCAACCCUGAUCCAGCAAUUCUGUGUGCACGAAGAAGGUUUUCGGAUUGUAAAGUGCUUUCAGCAGGGAAGAAGAAAGUGACGGUACCUGCAGAAGAAGCGACGGCUAAAUACGUG